UCUGUUUUCAGGAGAUAGCUGAGCUUUCAGAUGCAGCACAAAACUGCAUCACCUGAAAGAAGGAAAUACGCCUUGUGAAGGGGUGACAAAUGAGAGACAGUGCGUCCCCGAUUGCUGCUGCUUCUGCUUUGCAAUGAGUGAGUUGUAUGAAGUGGUGCACAGCAGGUGCUCGGGUUCUGCUGUCUUUUCCUGCUUUUCACCUAGGGCCUGACUACAUCUACCACACCUUGUGCUGCUCUCGCUUCUCUUGAGCUGAAAGCUGCAGGGAAUUGAACAGCAGGUUUCUGAAGCAAGGUAAAAAAAGCACUGUGCUUGAAAUUGGUAUUGUCAGGAAACCUGGCAGUGGUGGAGGGGUGUGAGAAGCGUGUUCAUGACAGUCUUCUCUUCAGAGCUGAGGGGUAACUAAGCAAGACUGCUGAGAUCAGUGAGUCUCUGGUACAGAGAAAAAAGAGAGAUGCUUUUGGCCAGAGGAUUUCCUGUGGAGCUGCCCCUGGCAGGUUCCUGCUGCUAAGGGGAAGUCCUGCUGAAACUCACCGAUUGGCUCUGAUGUAGCAGGCUAUCUCAAUGCAACUUUCACUUCCAGAGGACGAGUCCAAAAGGUCUGUCCCAGAGAACAGUGUUAGACUAGGGUGUCAUCUCUGGUUCCCCUGCAGCUGAGACAGGUGAUGAAAUGGGCUGUUUUAGAAGAGAUUUUGACUGUGUUCUGUUGGUGUUGCACCACACAGAUCCGUGCUCAAAUGCGGUGCUUCCUCCAGAGUGCCAUUUACACAUUGCUGCAUCCUGCUGAUUUCAGGAGCAGCUGCUCACGUAAAUGUGUGCUUCUCUUCUGUGGGCUUUUAAGUAUUUGGCAUCGUGACUGUCAGCCAGUGUAAGAACAUGGCUGCGGAGUAAGCCCUGCAACUCUUACUGUGUGAAGUCUGUGACUGUGAUUUGGGGAAAGCUUUGUGAGUUCUUUUUGCUUCCCUGUAACAAAACAGAACUGGAGAAUUUCAGCAAGGUACAUGGAUCAGGUCUGCAGUCUGCCAAAUGGCUUACUAAUGAAACAGCUAAACCCUCUCUGGUUUAAGAAUGCUACAGUGGUUCGAUAAGACAGCAGAACAUUUCCUGCUUCUUGAUACCACAGGCAGACUUGCAAUUGCAAAGCAGCAGCUGGGAGAGCAGUUUCAUCCUUAGAGGAACACUUGUCUGCAGGGAACAAGCUUGUGUGGUGCUCUGGAGGCAGGCUUGUAACCAAGGGCCCAUUGCAAAGAAUAUUAUCUAGGCCUUCCAAAAAGAUGAAUUCCUCAGCCCCAAGCAGGGGAGAGCUCAGGGACGUGUGAGCUCUGAGGGAAGGAUUGUUUCAGCUGUGAAAGUGUUCCUUGGAUAAAACUAAGCCAGGCCUGUAUAUCAGCUGAUCUGACUGGAAAGGAAUAAAGCCACUCCAUUGCUGCAGUUCUAUUCCCUUUUCUCUUUUUAAUGAGAUAAUUACUAAGUGCUGCACAGUGAACCAAGCUCUAGAGCUGAUGUUUUCUGUUUGUUAACAUGUGGUGAAUAUGUCAGAAUCCAAAAUCCAGCCAUAAUGUCAUCUGAGUCACACAACAGUUUGCACGGCCUCCACGUCCCAUUGAAUGUGCUAAGCACGUAUUACGUGGAGGUGAUGGAAGCUGAUAGUUUCUUGCGGAGAAACCUACAGAAAUAGGCCUGAACUGAGGAAUUAGACAAGUAAUUAGAUGUGACUUAGGAUUACAAAAGAAUUUGCCAUGUAACAUGUGGGAGCACAAGCUCACAUGGAUGCCUUCAGCUUCCAGUCCUUGCUCUCUCCUCUGACAGAGGCCGUCUCCCCUCCUUCCCCUGCCCUUAGGCACUAGCUCAUGCAAAUCUUCUCCAGCCGCCUUCUCUUUCAGCUGUGAGAGGUGUGGGCAGUCCUGCAGGGGACUUGAACUGACUUCCAAGUCCUCAAUCUGCUGUGGAUUUAUUUCUGAACACAGAGAUGAACGGUACUGCACACUAUUAUAAUGAUACUGCCCAGCUGUAUCUGAACAUUUAACAGCUUAACUUCAAUUGUCCUUAAAGGGGGGGAAAAAAAAACAGUGGCAGAGAAAGUCAACGCUAGCUUCUUAUUCAUUCUCUUCCUUCUCUCCUUGGGGACAUGUCCAUGCAGAGUCCUGCAGCUACAUCCAGUUACCAUAGCGAUUCCAGUAUCCUCCUGGAGGUUCUUUUUUAAUGAUGAAAUAUUCCUCCCACUGCUUAGCAGUAUCUUCCAGCAAUUAGUAGGCUUCUGAGAUCCUAUUUCAUCUCAAGAAGUGGAACUGCUCCAUAAAGCACAAUGGUUGUGUUACUGUGCCUGGUCUGACUGAUGAAUCCACACAUAUAAACGGAAAUAGCUUCAAGCUGUAUGAACAUAAUUGGGGUCAGUUUAACUCCUAUCCUACGUACAAAGCCUCUUAAUUGGAAAUUCAGGUCAUACACUCAGAAUUAAGCUAAUAGAAACCUACAGCAAAGGAGGGUUUCUCUGUUAUUCCACGAAUUUCAGUGCUAUACUAACAACAUGAGUGACUUUCAUAAGGAUUAUAAUUGAGUGUAUUAUGAUUUAAAUCUUCUAUGAAUUUCACAGCCCUGGCUGAAGGUAGCGCGAGUGCUAAAUAGGAUUACUUCUCCUUUCACAGAUAAACAAUUAAAGUACAAACCACAUUCAAAACAGCCAACUCUAACACCGUUAUUAAUGAUAAGCCAGUUUAUUUCUCCGUUUAUGGAUCCUUCUCUACAGAAAUAGAAAUGAAAACCUAUUUUUUAAGACUCCAUACUGCAAGGAUGUGUCGAUAACUGACCUGCUGUUAGCUUCACUGGGUGCAACAGCACAACAAUUAUCCCACUCCACUGAGAAUCUACACUCAUCAUCUUCAUAUAAAUAUUUCAAAAGGAGAACAAUGAAUAAGCUUUGCAGCAGGAAAUACUUCAACAUAAGUGCAAUCUUCUUUUACAACAGAAGAUGUGCAUGUAGAAACUGACCGUACACAGAGAAGUGGAAACCUCACCCUGUGCAUUAGGAGAUACCUGAGGUGACACACGGAACAUGAACUGUCAAUAUAUUACUCUGAUGCAGCAUAGCCUCUCACAGUUUGUUUCCUGGGAAUGCCCAGGUAAAAUAUUUACACUGCACACACAGAAAAAAGGGGCUUCAGGGCAUGCUGGACAAAUUCUAGAUUCCUUAGAUGCUUACAUGCCAGCAGCUCACACAAGCUCCUGCCAGGAGAGCGCUGUGUAUUCCCAAGCAAUACUUCAUUGCAGGACAACAGGCCUGCAAAAUGAAAAAGCCUUCUGUAGAGAACCACUCAGCCUCAACCACGUGCUGUGCUCUCACUCAGAUAAAAUGCAGUUCUGUGGACGAAGUGCUUUUUGGAUGCCAGCAGUGAGGUCUUGAGGAGUGGGACUCUCUGCAGUGCAGCUCACCGGGAUUCCUGCUGCUUCCAUGGCUUCGGCAGUUGUUGGACCAAUAGCAGCAAACUUUAUGCGGUUGGCAAAAUCACCAGAAAGCUUCUGAAUGUGCUGGAGGCAAAACUUGACACCAGAUGGACUGAAGAACACGAUGCUGGCUGGAAC
rnacentral:lncRNA from 1 species